rnacentral:rRNA from 1 species
CAGUAGCCGCGGUAAAACAGAGGAUGCAAGCGUUAUCCGGAAUGAUUGGGCGUAAAGCGAGCGCAGGCGGUUUGAUAAGUCUGAAGUUAAAGGCUGUGGCUUAACCAUAGUACGCUUUGGAAACUGUUUAACUUGAGUGCAGAAGGGGAGAGUGGAAUUCCAUGUGUAGCGGUGAAAUGCGUAGAUAUAUGGAGGAACACCGGUGGCGAAAGCGGCUCUCUGGUCUGUAACUGACGCUGAGGCUCGAAAGCGUGGGGAGCAAACAGGAUUAGAUACCCCGGUAGUCCCUGUCUCUUAUACA